ACAAGAUUUGGGGAUAUUUGGGUACGGCAAAUAUAAAUGCAGUCGGGCAAGAAACCAACCUGACCCUUCGGGUGACGUUAACGGCGUCGAGCGGCGGACGGGUGAGUAAUGCCUGGGAAAUUGCCCUGAUGUGGGGGAUAACCAUUGGAAACGAUGGCUAAUACCGCAUAAUAGCUUCGGCUCAAAGAGGGGGACCUUCGGGCCUCUCGCGUCAGGAUAUGCCCAGGUGGGAUUAGCUAGUUGGUGAGGUAAUGGCUCACCAAGGCGACGAUCCCUAGCUGGUCUGAGAGGAUGAUCAGCCACACUGGAACUGAGACACGGUCCAGACUCCUACGGGAGGCAGCAGUGGGGAAUAUUGCACAAUGGGCGCAAGCCUGAUGCAGCCAUGCCGCGUGUGUGAAGAAGGCCUUCGGGUUGUAAAGCACUUUCAGCAGUGAGGAAGGUGGUGUCGUUAAUAGCGGCAUCAUUUGACGUUAGCUGCAGAAGAAGCACCGGCUAACUCCGUGCCAGCAGCCGCGGUAAUACGGAGGGUGCGAGCGUUAAUCGGAAUUACUGGGCGUAAAGCGCAUGCAGGUGGUUAGUUAAGUCAGAUGUGAAAGCCCGGGGCUCAACCUCGGAACUGCAUUUGAAACUGGCUGACUAGAGUACUGUAGAGGGGGGUAGAAUUUCAGGUGUAGCGGUGAAAUGCGUAGAGAUCUGAAGGAAUACCGGUGGCGAAGGCGGCCCCCUGGACAGAUACUGACACUCAGAUGCGAAAGCGUGGGGAGCAAACAGGAUUAGAUACCCUGGUAGUCCACGCCGUAAACGAUGUCUACUUGGAGGUUGUGGCCUUGAGCCGUGCCUUUCGGAGCUAACGCGUUAAGUAGACCGCCUGGGGAGUACGGUCGCAGAUUAAACUCAAUGAACUGACGGGGUCCCCGGCAACCAGCCCGUUGUAGACCCAU
rnacentral:rRNA from 1 species